rnacentral:rRNA from 1 species
UACGGAAGGCAGCAGUGGGGAAUAUUGCGCAAUGGGCGCAAGCCUGAUGCAGCCAUGCCGCGUGUAUGAAGAAGGCCUUCGGGUUGUAAAGUACUUUCAGUCGUGAGGAAGGUGUUAAGGUUAAUAACCUUAGCAAUUGACGUUAGCGACAGAAGAAGCACCGGCUAACUCCGUGCCAGCAGCCGCGGUAAUACGGAGGGUGCGAGCGUUAAUCGGAAUUACUGGGCGUAAAGGGCACGCAGGCGGUUAAUUAAGUUGGAUGUGAAAUCCCCGGGCUUAACCUGGGAAUGGCAUUCAAGACUGGUUAGCUAGAGUCUUGUAGAGGGGGUAGAAUUCCAUGUGUAGCGGUGAAAUGCGUAGAGAUGUGGAGGAAUACCGGUGGCGAAGGCGGCCCCUGGACAAAGACUGACGCUCAUGUGCGAAAGCGUGGGGAGCAAACAGGGAUUAGAUACC